rnacentral:rRNA from 1 species
CCUACGGGAGGCUGCAGUGGGGAAUAUUGGGCAAUGGGCGCAAGCCUGACCCAGCAACGCCGCGUGAAGGAAGAAGGCUUUCGGGUUGUAAACUUCUUUUAAGAGGGAAGAGCAGAAGACGGUACCCCUUUAAUAAGCCCCCGCUAACUACGUGCCAGCAGCCGCGGUAAUACGUAGGUGGCCAGCGUUCUCCGGAUUUACUGGGUGUAAAGGGCGUUCAGGCGGGAAGACAAGUCAGAUGUUAAAGACCGCGGCUCAACCGCGGAACUGCAUUUGAAACUGUUUGUCUUGAGUACCGGAGAGGUCAGCGGAAUUCCUAGUGUAGCGGUGAAAUGCGUAGAUAUUAGGAAGAACACCAGUGGCGAAGGCGGAUGACUGGACGACAACUGACGGUGAGGCGCGAAAGCGUGGGGAGCAAACAGGAUUAGAUACCCCUGUAGUC